rnacentral:rRNA from 1 species
GCCCUUAGAGUUUGAUCCUGGCUCAGAUUGAACGCUGGCGGCAGGCCUAACACAUGCAAGUCGAGCGGUAGCACAGAGAGCUUGCUCUCGGGUGACGAGCGGCGGACGGGUGAGUAAUGUCUGGGAAACUGCCUGAUGGAGGGGGAUAACUACUGGAAACGGUAGCUAAUACCGCAUAACGUCGCAAGACCAAAGUGGGGGACCUUCGGGCCUCAUGCCAUCAGAUGUGCCCAGAUGGGAUUAGCUAGUAGGUGGGGUAAUGGCUCACCUAGGCGACGAUCCCUAGCUGGUCUGAGAGGAUGACCAGCCACACUGGAACUGAGACACGGUCCAGACUCCUACGGGAGGCAGCAGUGGGGAAUAUUGCACAAUGGGCGCAAGCCUGAUGCAGCCAUGCCGCGUGUGUGAAGAAGGCCUUCGGGUUGUAAAGCACUUUCAGCGGGGAGGAAGGCGUUAAGGUUAAUAACCUUGGCGAUUGACGUACNCCGCAGAAGAAGCACCGGCAACUCC